GCACUACUGAUGAGUCCCAAAUAGGGCGAAACAGCUGUCCAAUGC
rnacentral:hammerhead_ribozyme from 1 species